rnacentral:rRNA from 1 species
AGUGAACGCUGGCGGUAGGCCUAACACAUGCAAGUCGAACGGCAGCACAGUAAGAGCUUGCUCUUACGGGUGGCGAGUGGCGGACGGGUGAGGAAUACAUCGGAAUCUACUUUUUCGUGGGGGAUAACGUAGGGAAACUUACGCUAAUACCGCAUACGACCUACGGGUGAAAGCAGUGGAUCUUCGGACCUUUCGCGAUUGAAUGAGCCGAUGUCGGAUUAGCUAGUUGGCGGGGUAAAGGCCCACCAAGGCGACGAUCCGUAGCUGGUCUGAGAGGAUGAUCCGCCACACUGGAACUGAGACACGGUCCAGACUCCUACGGGAGGCAGCAGUGGGGAAUAUUGGACAAUGGGCGCAAGCCUGAUCCAGCCAUACCGCGUGGGUGAAGAAGGCCUUCGGGUUGUAAAGCCCUUUUGUUGGGAAAGAAAAGCAGCAGGUUAAUACCCCGCUGUUCUGACGGUACCCAAAGAAUAAGCACCGGCUAACUUCGUG